GGUAACGUGGGCCGAGAGGUCUAAGGCGCUGGUUUUAGGCACCAGUCAUUCCAUGGGCGUGGGUUCGAAUCCCACCGCUGCCA
rfam:Ciona savignyi cont_32150, whole genome shotgun sequence.